UGGUUCAGAGGAAGAGUUUUCUCUUUCUCUGCCGCUCCUGGAGGUCAUAAAACUCUCUAGAACUCCCAACUAUAAACAUUCACACAGGUAGAUCAAGAAAGUCUAAACCGAAUAAACAGCGAUGUGUGGUAAUCACACACACAUGGGCAGGUUGAGCUGUGGGAAUGCAGCUCUUAAAGGCGGUAGGAUUUGGGGAGUCCUUGUAAAACCUGAUCUCACACACACAGAUAACGAGGAGGAAUUUAGGACACAUCACUCCACGAAUUUCCCAACCAUUUCCUUGGACAGGUGACCUCUGUCAGAGGUGAACUAAAAACGGCCCGAGGGAAAGGAUGCAGAGACCAGCUCAUCACCACAAAACAACAGCUCAACUAAUGCCAGACCUCAGGAUGCACGUGUAGAGCAUGUGCCAUGUGACCUUGCACAGGUCAGCAACAUAGCCUUAAGGUGGCGCCCUUUGUACUUUGACCUUUUACAGCCAUAAAGAUUUGACAUUAGAGUGUUUGUUUACCUAAUCAGGUCACUGAACAUUCUUGUGGUUGUCAAGACCUCUCAAUGGACUCACUUGGAUCCUGAGUUCAUUUCCUUUUCUGUUUUUUUCCUAAACGGAAAACAAAAUUGAGAUGAAUGCAUUUUCACUUACUGCUCCUUAUGUUUGUCUUUCUAUUUUAGCUCCAUGCUGACAGCAUCAAAGAUGUUACUGUCCAUAUGAUAUCAGCAGAUGGGUUUUUCAUCGCUACCAUGCCAGACAUCAUUACCCCUUAACAACUCUUAUUAAAAAUGAACUGACCCGUCUACGUGUGUGAAUUCAGGCUGAAUCAGGUUUUAAUAUUUAAGUUUCAGCUGAAUGCAACUGACUGGUAUUUAAACAUACACAGAAAAACAUUAAAAUGAAGAGAUAAAAACUUCAUAGCUAGUCAGUAUUUUUUUUAAACCGAGGACAGUGUGAAGUGCACAGAAAUGCCAAACAACCACACACAAAUUUUCUGAGCAUAAAGAGAGUGCUGGGUCUUUACAUAGGGGUGGUGGGAUAAUAGGGAGAAUCCCUAACAAAGGCCAUUUUGACAGAGCGAGCUUUGUCUGCGUCAGCCCACAAAUUCAUCCACUCCAAAUGAACUCUGCAAAAAUAAUGGGACUUUAAAUAGUGCUGGCCCUUGAAAAACAAAGCUGUUCAGCCCAUGAUGCUGACCUUUUGUUAUUUAUCCCAAAUCACUUUAAUCCCACCCCAGUAACAAAAAUAAAGUUUGUAAUGUGCCAAAAAUAUCA
ensembl:lncRNA